rfam:Treponema pedis str. T A4, complete genome.
GUUUAUCUUCGAGUUUUGUGCUUUGCACAAAACAUCGUUUAUUGUAUGCAGCUUUGCAAUUUGCAAAAUUGCAUACAAAAUUUUUUUUCACAAAUUGAUAUUUGCUGUAAAAAGUUUUUAUAGGA